rnacentral:tRNA from 1 species
GCAGGGUUAGCUCAGUUGGUUAGAGCGUGGUGCUAACAAUGCCAAGGUCACAGGUUCAAUCCCUGCUCACUGCA